UACGGGGGGGGCAAGCGUUGUUCGGAAUUACUGGGCGUAAAGGGCUCGUAGGCGGCCAACUAAGUCAGACGUGAAAUCCCCAGGCUCAACCUGGGAACUGCGUCUGAUACUGGAUGGCUUGAAUCCGGGAGAGGGAUGCAGAAUUCCAGGUGUAGCGGUGAAAUGCGUAGAUAUCUGGAGGAACACCGAUGGCGAAGGCAGCCCCCUGGGUCAAGAUUGACGCUCAUGCACGAAAGCGUGGGGAGCAAACAGG
rnacentral:rRNA from 1 species